rnacentral:rRNA from 1 species
UGGAGGGCAAGUCUGGUGCCAGCAGCCGCGGUAAUUCCAGCUCCAAUAGCGUAUAUUAAAGUUGUUGCAGUUAAAAAGCUCGUAGUUGAAUUUCGGGAUCAGUACGCUGGUCGUGCCUUCGGUAUGUACUGGUGUUACUGGUUCCUACCUUCUGACGAACCGUCAUGUCAUUAAUUUGGUGUGGCGGGGAAUCAGGACUGUUACUUUGGAAAAAUUAGAGUGUUUAAAGCAGGCUCGCGCUUGAAUACAUUAGCAUGGAAUAAUGAAAUAGGACGUUCGGUCCUAUUUUGUUGGUUUCUAGGAUUGACGUAAUGAUUAAUAGGGAUAGUUGGGGGCAUUAGUAUUCAAUUGUCAGAGGUGAAAUUCUUGGAUUUAUUGAAGACUAACUACUGCGAAAGCAUUUGCCAAGGAUGUUUUCAUUAAUCAAGAACGAAAGUUAGGGGAUCGAAGACGAUCAGAUACCGUCGUAGUCUUAACCAUAAACUAUGCCGACUAGGGAUCGGAUGAUGUUAAUUUUUUAAUGACUCACUCGGCGCCUUACGGGAAACCAAAGUGUUUGGGUUC